CAGCAACUAGGGGGAAUGAGUUUUGUAAUUUGAUCAAAACAAAGGAUGAUAUCUUAUAAAGUUCUAGAUAGAUGAUUGAUUAUGACAGUUUUUUAUCUAUAUGUCUUGGCUAAGUUUUGUGCCAGCAGCCGCGGUAAUACAAAGGAGACUGGUGUUAUUCAUCUUUACUAGGUAUAAAGGGUACCUAGACAGUAUAUUCAGCACCUUAAGGGAGUUGUACAGAUUAUACUAGAGUUUAUUUAAUAGGAAAAUGUAGUAUACAAGGUGUAGAGAUAAAAUUUUCUGAUAUCUUUGAGACUGAUAACAGCGAAAGCAAGCCUUUAUAUAAAACUGACGUUGAGGGACGAAGGCGUUGUGUAAUGAACAGGAUUAGAGACCCUGGUAAUCUUCGCAGUAAAUUAUAAAUGCCAUAGGUUUGGGUAAUAUUAUUUAAGUCUAUCAAUGAAAGUGUAAGCAUUUCACCUCAUGAGUAAUGUGGCAACGCAGGAAUUGAAAUCAUUAGACCGCUUCUGAGAACAGUAGUGAAGUAUGUUAUUUAAUUCGAUGAUCCGCGAAAAACCUUACCACAAUUUGUAUUAUUAUUUUUUUUUAUUUUAUUAAAAAAAUAUUACAAGCGUUGCACGGUUGUCUUUAGUUGGUGUCGUGAGAUCUGGCCCUCCUUUAAUCAACGAAAACCCUUGCUUUAUUUAUUAUGAAGUGGUUCUCCGUUACAUAGGAUAAGAUAACAGGGAUUAAGGCAAAUCAUCA
rnacentral:rRNA from 1 species